UACGAACUGUGCGAACGUUAUUCGGAAUCACUGGGCUUAAAGGGUGCGUAGGCGGUUUUCUAAGUCACGUGUGAAAUCUUUCGGCUCAACCGGAAAACUGCGCGUGAUACUGGAGAACUUGAGUGAGGUAGGGGUGUGUGGAACUUCCGGUGGAGCGGUGAAAUGUGUAGAGAUCGGAAGGAACGCCAGCAGCGAAAGCGGCACACUGGGCCUUUUCUGACGCUGAGGCACGAAAGCUAGGGGAGUGAACGGG
rnacentral:rRNA from 1 species